rnacentral:rRNA from 1 species
GUAGGAGACAAACGUUAUCCGGAGUUACUGGGCGUAAAGGGCGUGUAGGCGGUUUGUUAAGUUUGGCGUGAAAGCUCUCGGCUAAACCGGGAGAGGUCGUUGGAUACUGGCAAACUAGAGGACGGUAGAGGCGUGUGGAAUUCCGGGUGUAGUGGUGAAAUGCGUAGAGAUCCGGAGGAACACCAGUGGCGAAGGCGACACGCUGGGCCGUACCUGACGCUAAAGCGCGACAGCAUGGGGAGCAAACGGGAUUAGAAACCCCGGUAGUCCAUGCCGUAAACGAUGUCAGCUAGAUGUUCAAGACGCGCAAGCGGCUGGGGUAUCGAAGCAAACGCGAUAAGCUGACCGCCUGGGGAGUACGGUCGCAAGGSKA